CCGCAGCGGGUGGACAUGUGGUUUAUUCGAUGCACGCGAAGAACCUUACCUACUCUUGACAUCCAGAGAACUUUCCAGAGAUGGAUUGGUGCCUUCGGGAACUCUGAGACAGGUGCUGCAUGGCUGUCGUCAGCUCGUGUUGUGAAAUGUUGGGUUAAGUCCCGCAACGAGCGCAACCCUUAUCCUUUGUUGCCAGCGGUUAGGCCGGGAACUCAAAGGAGACUGCCAGUGAUAAACUGGAGGAAGGUGGGGAUGACGUCAAGUCAUCAUGGCCCUUACGAGUAGGGCUACACACGUGCUACAAUGGCGCAUACAAAGAGAAGCGACCUCGCGAGAGCAAGCGGACCUCAUAAAGUGCGUCGUAGUCCGGAUUGGAGUCUGCAACUCGACUCCAUGAAGUCGGAAUCGCUAGUAAUCGUAGAUCAGAAUGCUACGGUGAAUACGUUCCCGGGCCUGGGGAUCCCGA
rnacentral:rRNA from 1 species